AGAUUGAACGCUGGCGGCAUGCCUAACACAUGCAAGUCGAACGGGAGUAGCAAUACUCUAGUGGCGGACGGGUGAGGAAUACGUAGGAAUUUGCCCUUAAGUGGGGGAUAACCCGGGGAAACCCGGAUUAAUACCGCAUGACCUCGAAAGAGCAAAGUGGGGGAUCGCAAGACCUCACGCUUUUGGAGAAGCCUACGUCGGAUUAGCUAGUUGGUGAGGUAAUGGCUCACCAAGGCGACGAUCCGUAACUGGUCUGAGAGGAUGAUCAGUCACACCGGAACUGAGACACGGUCCGGACUCCUACGGGAGCAGCAGUGGGAAUAGUGGACAAUGGCGCAAGCCUGAUCCAGCAAUGCCGCGUGUGUGAAGAGGCCUUGGUGUAAGCACGUUUAAGGUUAGGAAGAAAAACUCGACUACGUAACACAGUUA
rnacentral:rRNA from 1 species